AUGGAAUUAGAAAAGAGCUAAAAUAAAAACUGAUGAAGCUCAUGCAGACAAUCUAGGCUAUUUUGAAAGUGAGGAUUUCCUGGUAAACUGAAGAAGAACAUCAGGAGAACCCGCAGGAGAAACAGUGAACUCGGAAUCAAAGGACAAGGAAGGCUUUUGAGAAGUAACUCCAGUGCGGCUGUGGGUAGGACAGAAGGCCGUUAGCCAAAAAGAACUGCAAGAUAUCUUCACCUCAUGUUACAUACAUCCUCAUUUCUUGAUUCCCUCGACCUUCUUGUGGUACAGACAUAAAUGAAGAGAAGACAUUUAUGCUAACACAGGUAAACUAUCUUCUUUAUAUUAAUUUUCCACUGUAAUUCUACUCCCCUU
rnacentral:lncRNA from 1 species